rnacentral:rRNA from 1 species
GACGAACCGUGCGAACGUUAUUCGGAAUCAUUGGGCUUAAAGCGCGUGUAGGCGGAUUCGUGCGUCUGUCGUUGAAAUCCCCCGGCUCAACCGGGGAAGUGGCGCGGAUACGACGAGUCUGGAGGGGCAUAGGGGGACCUGGAACUUCCGGUGGAGCGGUGAAAUGCGUUGAGAUCGGAAGGAACGCCCGUGGCGAAAGCGAGGUCCUGGAUGCCUACUGACGCUGAGACGCGAAAGCCAGGGGAGCGAGCGGG